AGAAGCUUCGGCAAUGGGCGAAAGCCUGACCGAGCGACGCCGCGUGAGGGAUGAAGCCCCUUGGGGUGUAAACCUCUUUCGACCGGGAAGAAAGUCCCGAUGGUGAAUCGGGAUAUGACGGUCCCGGGCGAAGAAGCACCGGCUAACUCCGUGCCAGCCGCCGCGGUAAUACGGGGGGUGCAAGCGUUAUUCGGAUUUAUUGGGCGUAAAGGGCGCGUAGGCGGUCUGGUAAGUCUGGUGUGAAAACGCUACCGCUCAACGGAGCGAUUGCACUGGAUACUGCUAGACUUGAGUGCGGGAGAGGUGAGCGGAAUGUGUGGUGUAGCGGUGGAAUGCGUAGAUAUCACACAGAAUACCCGUGGCGAAGGCGGCUCACUGGCCCGCAACUGACGCUGAGGCGCGAAAGCGUGGGGAGCAAAC
rnacentral:rRNA from 1 species